rnacentral:rRNA from 1 species
CACUGUAAGCGGCCGAUCACUCGGAUCAGGGCUCGAUGAAGGACACAGCAAAUUGUACAACAUGGUGUGACCUGCAGGACCCAUAAACAUUGUCAUUUGAAUACAUAUCACUGUCCAUGCCGUAAAGUACUUUAUUCAAUUUUG